rnacentral:rRNA from 1 species
UACGUAGGGUGCAAGCGUUGUCCGGAAUUAUUGGGCGUAAAGAGCUCGUAGGCGGUCUGUCGCGUCUGCUGUGAAAACCUGGGGCUUAACCCCGGGCCUGCAGUGGGUACGGGCAGACUAGAGUGUGGUAGGGGAGACUGGAAUUCCUGGUGUAGCGGUGAAAUGCGCAGAUAUCAGGAGGAACACCGGUGGCGAAGGCGGUUCUCUGGGCAUUACCUGACGCUGAGGAGCGAAAGUGUGGGGAGCGAACAGG